rnacentral:rRNA from 1 species
GGCGGCGUGCUUAAACAUGCAAGUCGAACGAUGAAGCCCUUCGGGGUGGAUUAGUGGCGAACGGGUGAGUAACACGUGGGCAAUCUGCCCUUCACUCUGGGACAAGCCCUGGAAACGGGGUCUAAUACCGGAUACGACCUGGGAAGGCAUCUUCUCGGGUGGAAAGCUCCGGCGGUGAAGGAUGAGCCCGCGGCCUAUCAGCUUGUUGGUGGGGUAAUGGCCUACCAAGGCGACGACGGGUAGCCGGCCUGAGAGGGCGACCGGCCACACUGGGACUGAGACACGGCCCAUACUCCUACGGGAGGCAGCAGUGGGGAAUAUUGCACAAUGGGCGCAAGCCUGAUGCAGCGACGCCGCGUGAGGGAUGACGGCCUUCGGGUUGUAAACCUCUUUCAGCAGGGAAGAAGCGCAAGUGACGGUACCUGCAGAAGAAGCGCCGGCUAACUACGUGCCAGCAGCCCGGUUUAAUA